AGUGAACGCUGGCGGUAGGCCUAACACAUGCAAGUCGAACGGCAGCACAGUAAGAGCUUGCUCUUACGGGUGGCGAGUGGCGGACGGGUGAGGCAUACAUCGGAAUCUACUUUUUCGUGGGUGAUAACGUAGGGAAACUUACGCUAAUACCGCAUACGACCUACGGGUGAAAGCAGGGGAUCUUCGGACCUUUCGCGAUUGAAUGAGCCGAUGUCGGAUUAGCUAGUUGGCGGGGUAAAGGCCCACCAAGGCGACGAGCCGUAGCUGGUCUGAGAGGAUGAUCAGCCACACUGGAACUGAGACACGGUCCAGACUCCUACGGGAGGCAGCAGUGGGGAAUAUUGGACAAUGGGCGAAAGCCUGAUCCAGCAAUACCGCGUGGGUGAAGAAGGCCUUCGGGUUGUAAAGCCCUUUUGUUGGGAAAGAAAAGCAGCAGGUUAAUACCCCGCUGUUCUGACGGUACCCAAAGAAUAAGCACCGGCUAACUUCGUG
rnacentral:rRNA from 1 species